UAGGGAAUCUUCGGCAAUGGACGAAAGUCUGACCGAGCAACGCCGCGUGAGUGAAGAAGGUUUUCGGAUCGUAAAACUCUGUUGUUAGAGAAGAACAAGGACGUUAGUAACUGAACGUCCCCUGACGGUAUCUAACCAGAAAGCCACGGCUAACUACGUGCCAGCAGCCGCGGUAAUACGUAGGUGGCAAGCGUUGUCCGGAUUUAUUGGGCGUAAAUCGAGCGCAGGCGGUUUCUUAAGUCUGAUGUGAAAGCCCCCGGCUCAACCGGGGAGGGUCAUUGGAAACUGGGAGACUUGAGUGCAGAAGAGGAGAGUGGAAUUCCAUUGGUAGGGGUGAGAUGCGUAGAUAUAUGGAGGAACACAAGUGGCGAAGGCGGCUCUCUGGUCUGUAACUGACGCUGAGGCUAGAAAGCGUGGGGAGCAAACAGG
rnacentral:rRNA from 1 species